AGGGUUCGAUCAUGGCUCAGGAUGAACGCUGGCGGCGUGCUUAACACAUGCAAGUCGAGCGAAGCGCUUUUGUUGAUUUCUUCGGAUUGAAACAAUUGUGACUGAGCGGCGGACGGGUGAGUAACGCGUGGGGAACCUGGCCCAUACAGGGGGAUAACAGUUAGAAAUGACUGCUAAUACCGCAUAAGCGCACGGAACCGCAUGGUUUUGUGUGAAAAACUCCGGUGGUAUGGGAUGGCCCCGCGUCUGAUUAGGUAGUUGGUGAGGUAACGGCCCACCAAGCCGACGAUCAGUAGCCGACCUGAGAGGGUGACCGGCCACAUUGGGACUGAGACACGGCCCAA
rnacentral:rRNA from 1 species